GGGGGGUGGGGGUGUCUCCCCCCGACCCUCUCUAGAUCCGCCCUUGUUAUAUACGUUUGACACAGGUACCUGACGUUAAUUAUUUUACUAUUAACCCUACCUAAUAAUACACAAGGUACUGUUUUCACUGUUAUCAUGGUACCCCUGAGUAUUUAUUUCGUCAGGUAUACAUAUAAUAAAUAGAAAAAAUAACUUUAUCAUAACUGAUGUGUUUACCUGGAAUAUAUUUUGAUUGAAUUGAUGUAAACUGGUCUCAUGUAUUCUUGUAUUAUGAAUGGUGACUCAAUCUACAUUAUGAGUGCAUCAAACUUGGGUACACUGAUUAAUUGUCAUUUUAUUAAUGCGUAAUUAUAAUAAAUGUAUUAAUGCUUGCUGUGGACCAUGAAGUGACACCCUUUUCCUCCGAUUUGAUUAUUUAUACUAAUUAAAAGAAUUAAGCAUCUUAACCUAUAUUUUAACGGGUCAAAAUUUUGUCAUGUCUGCAAUGAAAUGCUAAAACAAUCAUGUGUCAACACCAUGUCAGAAUAAUGCGCGCGGCGACCUCUUAACCUCAGUCUUACUAGAGGUCGUGUUUUCAUUGGAGGAUUGAAUAUAGAGGUGGUGACGUAGUUACUAUUGAGGCCCUAUAGAGGGGGACUUUUUAGAACAGUAAAUUUAUAGAGGUCGUGUUCUCAUUGGUUGCUUUUAGAAAGGGAGGAUGAAUAUACAGAUUUAGUGAGCAUGCGUAAAAAAAGUAGGAGGUUUUAGGUUAUGACGAAACCAUAAGAUGAUUAUAUGGUUUGAGAGCAUGCGCUGUAGUAUCGAUAACGUAAAAUAGAUGAUAUUAAGCAAUACGUGAAUUUUAUUUAGAAAUAAUAGGUCGAUUUAGAUGACCUAUUUUGAGCAAACAGUGAAAAUAAGGUAUACUUACCUGUGCACAGAGAGAGAUAUUUUAAUUUAAAAAAUUACAUGAAAAAAUGCGGUGAUGUAGCAUGCGCACUUGAACAUUGAAAAAGGGUGUAUAUUAAAAAAGUUUAGGGUAUAUUUUAAAAAGUAGUUACAAUUUUUUAUCAUUUUUCAAAAUGCCUUUAACACCAAACGAUUCAACUCCUUCGGCUGCGGUAAACGGGCUGGAUACUGCUUUACCAAUCCCUGAGCAUGAAGACUGGGUUUGGGAAAUAGCAAUGGACCCCUAUCCUUCUGGGAGGUUAAGGGACAUUGAUGGCAGACUGGUAUAUAUGUUUGAUUAUAAGUACGAACAGUACUUACAAAAUCUAGAAGACCAAAAAGAAGAAUAUAAAGAAGAAGUAAAGGAGAAGAAGGAAGAAGAAGACAAGAGAAAAGAACAGUAGCUUCUUUGAAGCUGAAAAAUUUCAACGGUCGUUUUAACGCCCACCAAAUUUUUCGAAAAGAUGUAUCUCAUACAAUGAAACUGGGGGAAAAGCAUUAAUCAAAUACAGUAGGUGAACAGGUUUUUCCCCACCUAAUGUACUUGAUGAUGAAAGACUUUUCUUGACAGCCUACGGUUAGUUUUUUCAUAUGCUUAACUAGUCAAGUUUGUGAUAAUUAACUGUAGGAAGCAAGAAAAUAAAAAAAUAAGGGGAAAAACAAACAAAGUAAAAUUAUAUUCAAUAUUUUUUAUAUAACUUUUUUUAAAAAAACAUAAGUAUUAUAAGAAUAUGUUGGUUUCACAGAAAUGAAGCGCACACAUGCACAGCAGCGACGCUAUAACAAGUUGCGCGAGGGGAUAAUAAUGCCAAUCACAAGAAGGAACGUUAGUCAGAUUGUGUACUUUUUUACAGAUUGUGUCGCUGUCACUGUCCCGGUAAGUCGUUGCCGAUGCCCCUGUGCCGUGACCUCCUGUCGUCGGAGUUCCUUCUAUGUUUCUAUCAGUAUUGAUGUUGAUAGAAUGUGAUGUAUUAAAAGUGAUGUAUUAAAAAUGAUAGUAAUUAAAGUAGAAAUGAUGAUAGUUUGCGUGUACUAUACACUGUGCGGCCAGAGAAUGGUGGGUCGAGUAGACAGUGUACUGCUGUCUGCGGUGCCCGUAUGAUGUGAUGUAGUGAUGUCUGAUGUCAAAGUGUGCGGGGUACUGAUAUUGAUUGUACGUGUGGAAUCAAUGUUGGUAAAUGGGGUCGCUGUGACAGUUUGAGAGUAUGUACGUGUUGAAAUUGUGUGUUGUACGGUCGACUGGUCUGCGACAUAUUUGAUUUAAGGAGGGUUGAACAGAGGAAGUGUCUGCUAAAAUUUGAAUAUCAAAAAGCAAAAAGCAAUAUCAAAGUGAAUCUGCACCCGAGAAAUUAUUCAACAAAUAAAAAAUAAAACAAAAUCAACAUCUUCAAUCAUGCACAUACUUACACAUUGGCGGCAUUGUUGCGGUGGUUGCGUCGUCUAUCGGGAGGGAAAAAAACACUAUUUACAUUAGCUAAUAACAUUAAAAAUAGAUUUCUCCGCUAUCCUUUUUUUGGAGUAAAAAAAAUUAUUACCAGGGCACAAAGGCCUUCCAUUAACGAAACCGCAAGCCAUUGCGAAAUGUGAUGCAAUCGGCAAUUAAUUGUGCUUAUUCAUUUGAUAAAAGUGACAGAGGCAGAGUUUUCUCGCGAUCGGUGUUUUCUUAUGAUCGGUCUAACCUUAGAAGUGUGAGCGCAGAGACCCGUUUAAGGAAAUAAAAAAAUAAUUACGUCUGCACCUGUGGUUUUUCUCCGUCGAGUCCAGCAUGACUAUGUCUCUGAUCUGGGUCUCUUUGCAUAAAUGUACAUACUGUACAAUAGAUCCGCAAUUACCCCGAAUUCUUAAUUGUACGAUCGGGACUAAGGUAGUUAUAUUUCGAAUGAAACAUUUUAUGUAGCAGUGUUAUUGAAUAACUGAAAUGCACUAAUUAUGAACUUUUAAUCAUGAAAUUUAAGUUUACCCUUUCACGUGAUAUUUUGAUCAGUCAUUAACACCCGUUAACAGUGCGGGUUAGGGUGAUCCCGAACAAAUAAAAAGUGAUGAUAACCAAUUUUUAUUGGACUCUGUAUACAGACAAUCACUGUAUUGUGUAUAUCGUCUGAGCUUUAUGACAUACAUUUGUGUCUAUCAAAAUUUGCUUAUUUGGUCAUUCUGUACCUGACGAGGAUACUGAUUACACAAAAAGUCGCUUUUUCGAUAAUUUUAAGUUUUAUGAAUUGUUUUAAUUUUAACGACAAUUGAUUUGAUUUGAAAUUCCCUGUUAAUAAUUGUAGGCCAAACCAGUUGGGAGAGUGCGUAAGGGAAUUAAUGUCACGCGUUCGAACUCGUGAUUAACCUAGUGGCCGUGUGUGACGGUUUUAAGUUUGCAAACAUGUUAUUUUUCAAAAAGUCAUUUAGACAAUUUCUAAGGAGAAAAGUACCUACCGAUCUCCUUCAUCCCUUUCUCACGAUGAAGUUUUAAGAUAGUGAUAAUAUAUAUCAAAUUCCGACGGAAUUUGACAGCAGGAGUACCAAAUAUAAUUACCAAAAAGAAAAAAAAAUGAACAAAAGAAUAAAAAAUCAAAGUAACAUAAAAAAUGAACGGAUGAGUUUCAGAAAAGAUAAGAAAGCAUAAUGGGCCCCUCCAUCUUUUUUUCCUAAACCCAAAUUGCCUCGAAAUUUGAUUUAUAAUAUUUUUCUAAAUUUCUUUAAAAUUAUAAUGAGCGCGAGAAUUUUCAAAGCUGUAUUAAAACCGAAGAAAACGCUCAAUAAAAUUGUCUUUGGAAUAUAUUCACAAGGAUUCAAACAUGGCAAUGUAAGUUGUUUUUUUUUUUUUUUUACCUAUGAUUUGUGUUUCAUUUUUUUUUAUUUCAGAAAUAAAAUUAGUAAAUUCCGCACAAGAAAAAUGGCGAUAAAAUUAUUUAUUUCUCUUAAAUAUAAUUUUAAGUCGCUGUACUUGCGGGGAAGUGCGUCAAGUAAUGAGAAAUCUCGCGCAAGCGAUUAGCGACUUGGACGACCUGCCAUGUCCGUGAGUAAUUGAUAAUAGAAAAAAAAAAUAACACGAUUUUACUUAAAAAGUUAGCUACAAGUGAGUCAAUUUUUUUUAAAACACACAUUACAAUGAAAACUUCACAACUGUAAAGUAAAAAAAGUAAAUUUUAGGAUAACUUGAAAUAUGAAGCAACUUUGUGUGAAAAUAUCUUUUGUAAUAGAAUGUAAAACGAAGUUGUAAAUUAGUCUUUUCAUUUUUUUUUUGGUUUAAGUAUGGAGCAGUGUGCCACUCCACUUCUUUCUUCGUAAGUUUCGUUUGUGUUGUUUUUAGAAAUAAAACGUACUCUCCAGUGUAUAUAGUUUUAAUCUCCGUUUUGUUUACUUUAACCAAAUUUUUAUUCUUUAUGAUUUACACUUAAAAAAAUAAAAUUGAUCAUCAUUUUCCACCCAUAUGUAAAGUACUCCACUAGCAUCCAGAAAGAGGACGCACAGCUCCUCACCGGGAUGUUCGUCAGGGUUAGUAUUUUUCUUCCCAAAAUUAAAAGUUUCAAUUGUUUUAUUGUUCAGAAAUAAUAAAUUCUACACUCAACUUUCACUCAAAAUUAAUAGCAUUUCAUAUUCUGUCCGUACAUAUAUAGCACGCCGAUAUCAAAGAAGAGGAGGGGAAACCUGUUAGUACAUUUUAUAUUCAAUGAAACGCAAUUUCUUGUAAAUGAUCUUAGAAAUAUACGUAUACAUUAAUUUUUUCAUAUAUUCUUAACUUUAGUCCCUUUACUCCAUCGGUGCCGAUUGGGUCAGUAAAUUAAUUUUGAUUUUAUCCUUUUAAAUUUUAAAUUCGUAAUUUAUACAUUGUGGUAUGCAGUAAAUAUAAUGUGACCCUUAAUUCUCAUGUUCAUUUAGAUUACCCCCAAUGCGCCGAUUCGUCCAACGUUAGUUUGAUUCUUUUUUAUUGAAUUAAAAUAUUUUUGUCACUGAGUUAUGUUUUUUUAAUGUUUGAAUGGUUAUAUAUGUAAAAAAAUUAGCGACGAGUAAGUUACGUAACAAAUUUACAUGUUUCAUUUGGUUUAAUUUUAAAUAUAUAUAGAUUUUUUUAGUUCCAAAUUUUACCUCCUUUUUCCCGUAGUUCAACCACGGAGAGUUACUGCCUUCUGGACAGUAGUCUCGAGAGACAACUGCUAUCGCUUGAGGGAAACGCAAGUAUGGCCUCGGCCAGCACCUCCACCGCGGCGAUGGAGCCCGAGGAGCCCGAGAAAUGAUUGGAAAAAUUAACAGAGGUCCCCUUCCCCCCAGACAGGAGGAGAAAAUGGACAUGUUUUAAAA